rnacentral:rRNA from 1 species
AUUGAACGCUGGCGGCAUGCCUUACACAUGCAAGUCGAACGGCAGCACGGGAGCUUGCUCCUGGUGGCGAGUGGCGAACGGGUGAGUAAAGCAUCGGAACGUGCCCUGAAGUGGGGGAUAACGUAGCGAAAGUUACGCUAAUACCGCAUAUUCUGUGAGCAGGAAAGCAGGGGAUCUUCGGACCUUGUGCUUUAGGAGCGGCCGAUGUCGGAUUAGCUAGUUGGUGAGGUAAAGGCUCACCAAGGCGACGAUCCGUAGCGGGUCUGAGAGGAUGAUCCGCCACACUGGGACUGAGACACGGCCCAGACUCCUACGGGAGGCAGCAGUGGGGAAUUUUGGACAAUGGGCGCAAGCCUGAUCCAGCCAUGCCGCGUGAGUGAAGAAGGC